CCUACGGGAGGCAGCAGUGAGGAAUAUUGGUCAAUGGGCGCGAGCCUGAACCAGCCAAGUAGCGUGAAGGAUGACUGCCCUACGGGUUGUAAACUUCUUUUAUAAAGGAAUAAAGUGAGGCACGUGUGCCUUUUUGUAUGUACUUUAUGAAUAAGGAUCGGCUAACUCCGUGCCAGCAGCCGCGGUAAUACGGAGGAUCCGGGCGUUAUCCGGAUUUAUUGGGUUUAAGGGGAGCGUAGAUGGGUUGUUAAGUCAGGUGUGAAAGUUUGCGGCUCAACCGUAAAAUUGCAAUUGAUACUGGCAGGCUUGAGUACAGUUGAGGUAGGCGGAAUUCGUGGUGUAGCGGUGAAAUGCUUAGAUAUCACGAAGAACUCCGAUUGCGAAGGCAGCUUACGAAACUGCGACUGACAUUGAUGCUCGAAAGUGUGGGUAUCAAACAGGAUUAGAUACCCGAGUAGUC
rnacentral:rRNA from 1 species